rnacentral:misc_RNA from 1 species
AACCAUAGAAACCUGCGGAGUACCUGGGAAGGAUCAUUAUAGUAUAUGGAAUCUCCAUUCUAUAAACCCACUCUGCGUAUCUUGUAACUGUUGCUUCCAUGGGACUUGGUUCCGCCACACCGGCUUCACGGCUGGUGAGCGCCCAUGGAAGGAGAAACAAAACUCUUCUUUGAAAUGUAGUCAGUCUGAACAAGUUUUUAUAAACGUUAAAACUUUUAACAACGGAUCUCAGAUCGGAAG